UGUUUGAUUCCUGGCUCAGGACGAACGCUGGCGGCGUGCUUAACACAUGCAAGUCGAACGAUGAAGCCCUUCGGGGUGGAUUAGUGGCGAACGGGUGAGUAACACGUGGGCAAUCUGCCCUUCACUCUGGGACAAGCCCUGGAAACGGGGUCUAAUACCGGAUAACACUCUGUCCCGCAUGGGACGGGGUUGAAAGCUCCGGCGGUGAAGGAUGAGCCCGCGGCCUAUCAGCUUGUUGGUGGGGUAAUGGCCUACCAAGGCGACGACGGGUAGCCGGCCUGAGAGGGCGACCGGCCACACUGGGACUGAGACACGGCCCAGACUCCUACGGGAGGCAGCAGUGGGGAAUAUUGCACAAUGGGCGAAAGCCUGAUGCAGCGACGCCGCGUGAGGGAUGACGGCCUUCGGGUUGUAAACCUCUUUCAGCAGGGAAGAAGCGAAAGUGACGGUACCUGCAGAAGAAGCGCCGGCUAACUACGUGCCAGCAGCCGCGGUAAUACGUAGGGCGCAAGCGUUGUCCGGAAUUAUUGGGCGUAAAGAGCUCGUAGGCGGCUUGUCACGUCGGAUGUGAAAGCCCGGGGCUUAACCCCGGGUCUGCAUUCGAUACGGGCUAGCUAGAGUGUGUAGAAUUCUUCC
rnacentral:rRNA from 1 species